GUCACUGUGACUCACCUCUCCCAGAGAGCAUUAGUGUGUUAGUAAUCAUAGUAAUUAGCAUUCACCUGGGGUUUUAUAAGCAGGAGGUAGCUGCGACAUAUAACUAUCUUGUGAGGUGAAGAGGCCAGGAUUAUCACGUCCAUUUUGCAAAGAGAAAAUAAAAACUCAGACGUGGUGAGUGACUCACCACGAUUGGAUCAGGAGACAGCUGUCUGAAGAAGAAUGAGAGAAGGAGUUCCUUCCACCCAGGGAACAGCAUUGUACAGCAAAUGAAAAACACCACGACGAGGCAGAGAGAGACCACAGAAGAAAGCAAUAGGUGUGCUCUGGCAACUGUCACGUUGAUUCCUGUCAGCCCCCGCCAGCCUGGGAAGUAGACUUUCACCACAAGAUGGAAAAGUAAGAGGGGAGAUUAUGAGGGGCUCCCAGCCUGCCUGACAGCAGUAGGAGAAGAGUCGGAACUCUUGGACUUUUUGCUUUGAGGCAUUUAAAUGGAAAUUAAAGUAAAUUUGCUCU